rnacentral:rRNA from 1 species
UACGGGGGGGGCAAGCGUUGUUCGGAAUUACUGGGCGUAAAGGGCGCGUAGGCGGCCUAUUAAGUCGGACGUGAAAUCCCUCGGCUCAACCGGGGAACUGCGUCCGAUACUGGCAGGCUUGAAUCCGGGAGAGGGAUGUGGAAUUCCAGGUGUAGCGGUGAAAUGCGUAGAUAUCUGGAGGAACACCGGUGGCGAAGGCGGCAUCCUGGACCGGCAUUGACGCUGAGGCGCGAAAGCUAGGGGAGCAAACGGG